AGUGUGAUUAUGUAGCUUACCUUACCAUCAUAUUUCAAAAUUCCUUUUUGUUUUAUAACUUAUUUUCCUGUUCUGUUCAUUUUGCAGGACAAUCCCAUUUGCCUGGAAUCUCAUUACAGCUGGUUAUGUUGAACAAUCUGUAUAUGGGGUAGUGGUCAACACACUCGGUCUCCUGUUUAUUGGGAAGCUGCUUGAGCCAAUAUGGGGUUCCAGGGAGUUCUUUAAAUUCAUCUUUGUGGUUAAUCUUCUAACUUCAGUAUGUGUAUUCAUCACUGCUAUUGCCUUGUACUACAUUACGAGGCUGGAGACUUACCUUUACUUUCCAAUUUCCGGAUUUCAUGGAGUUAUAUCUGGUUUCUUGGUUGGCAUCAAGCAAAUUAUACCAGAUCAAGAGCUCCCUUUUAUCAAGAUAAAAACAAAG